AACGAACCAACUCCCUCUUUAGUUGCUCGAAAUGAUAAAUGUUCCAAAACAUCAUCUCCAUCAGAGGUUUUACUCUCGAAUAAAUCAUUUUUCCAUAGCGGCGACGAAGACGAAACAUGUUUGCAAUAUAAUGAAAAGAGAUGUGGAAAAAUGAAUCAUCCAACACAUUUAUUUAUACAAAAAAAAUUACACAAUACACGGAGGCGCCAAACCAAUUGGCGUCUCCUCUCACUUUAUAUACAUGAGCGUCAAUUGGAUUGACAAU
rnacentral:lncRNA from 1 species